UUACUUUGUCAACAUAUAAUAUCAUGCCUAUAAUUACAAUCAUGGAAUUCCACUCUAUGGUGCCUGAAAAUUAUAAGGUUCCUUGUAUCAAUAACUAUUUUAAAUUCUGAGCGUAGCGAAGGAGCUAAUAGUUUUACUUUGAUUUAUUUUUUAUUUUUUUUCUAGUUUGGACACGUUUUUUCCUAGUGAACUUGUAGCAUGUAACAAUGUAACUUUACCUGUAGCAUCUUUUCUAAAAGCUCAAGAUGGUACUUUAGAGAGGUCAUUUUUUGAUUUUCGACACCAUUUUUUAAAUAAAAGCACUUGAGUGGAA